ACUCAAUUGGCUCAGCUGGUCAGAGCAUGGUGCUGAUAAUACAAAGGUUGUGGGUUGAAUCCCCAUAUGGGCCA